UACGGAGGAUCCGAGCGUUAUCCGGAUUUAUUGGGUUUAAAGGGUGCGUAGGCGGGGCGUUAAGUCAGCGGUGAAAGUUUGCGGCUCAACCGUAAAAUUGCCGUUGAAACUGGCGCUCUUGAGUGCAAGUGAGGUAAGCGGAAUGUGUAAUGUAGCGGUGAAAUGCAUAGAUAUUACACAGAACACCGAUUGCGAAGGCAGCUUACUGGUAUGUAACUGACGCUGAGGCACGAAAGCGCGGGUAUCGAAC
rnacentral:rRNA from 1 species